UACAGCGGGUGCGAGCGUUAAUCGGACUUACUGGGCGUAAAGGGCUCGUAGGUGGCCAACUAAGUCAGACGUGAAAUCCCCAGGCUUAACCUGGGAACUGCGUCUGAUACUGGAUGGCUUGAAUUCGGGAGAGGGAUGCAGAAUUCCAGGUGUAGCGGUGAAAUGCGUAGAUAUCUGGAGGAAUACCGGUGGCGAAGGCGGCAUCCUGGACCGAGAUUGACACUGAUGAGCGAAAGCUAGGGGAGCAAACGGG
rnacentral:rRNA from 1 species